CUGGCUUUAAAAAUUUUUGGAAGCCAUUUGUGAACUUUCGUCAAGUCUCUUUGCUCCCCAUCUCUUUCUAACCUGAGAACUGUGGGUUAUGGGCUCUGAUACCACUGUCUACAGAUAAAAGAAAAAAUAGUGUUUUGCUGCACUAGAAAUGAUAAUGUUCUACUACACCAAAUAAAGUGAAGAACAUGAGAGAAAAAAUUGAGAGAAGUUGGUAUUGAAAUUGAUCAUUUUAUUCAUUAACCCAUAGCCUUUAUAUAGGCAAUUACAAAAAACUGACUCCAAUAAAUUAGGCAAAAGAAAAGCUACCACAACAGUCACUUUCUAAACAACUCUAACUACUAAGCAAAAUGGCUAUAGACAAGAACAAAAUACAAACUAAUAGUAUUUAUUUUAAAUAAAUAAAUUUUAACACCACCACUUCUUCUAUGGUCAUCGGAAGCCCACCCGAAUCGUUCCACUGUGCAUGAUGGCCUAUUCUUGAACCACCAAUCACUUAACUUAAAAAUUAAACAAAUUUCCAAGCAAGCAAUGGCAAACCGAUACUGUUCCUCCGAAACCAAAGCACAUAAUGGCAAACCCGUAACUAUUUCGAACCCAACUUUAUCUUAGCCUUCACUCCAUCAUUCCCCUUGGAAUCCCAUUACAUGGAACCCACAACUAUCGCGACUGCAUUGUUGGGGAUUUUCUAGAUUGUUAUUAUAAGCAGAUCUCGCAUAUGCCCAGUUGGUCGAAAUUUGAUAAUUUAUUAACUCUCAAAGGUUAAGAACAUAGUUAUAAAACCCAGCUUGGAUUGGCCGGUCGGGCCAAAGAACCGGUGACCCAGGCCCUUGAUUGAGCCGGGUAGAAUAUUUUCAUAGAAAUGCAAUUGACUCGACCAAAAUCGAGUUGACCGAGUUAACCGGGAAAUUUUUAUAUUAACUCGAUCGGUUGACUGGUUUGACCAAGAUUUAAAAGCCUAUCUAUAAAUUUUUUUGCUUUUAAAAGAUUUGAACUUUGGACCUCUAGGUAAAAUGAGUACCAU
rnacentral:lncRNA from 1 species